UCCCCUCCCCUCCCUUUCAGAAUAACUUCUUAGUAACUGCAUGAAAUGUACAAUGUAAAUAUUAUAAGUCUCAUUUCCCAUAUGAGGAUCAGAGGUAUCAUUAUGUAAUCUGGCUCUUGUGCUUAGUUGAAUGGACUUGAGACUAGGCUCUGGGGCUUACCUUGUGUCAGUUGGAAAGAACAGUUCCAUCACCCCUCCCUCCAGUGGCUCCCAUGUCUGUGUUCCUCCAAGAGAUCACCAGCGUUAGAGGAUAACCCUUAAGCUGAUGUUCGCCAUGAUGGAUGAGGGCUCCUCCAAGAACCUGCUAACAGCUCCGAGCACCUCCUCUGAGAGGACAUUUGAAAGCUGCUAUCAUGCCUCAGAGGUGUGAGAGACCAGUGAAACCUCCAUUCUCUGGGAUCCUUCUUGCACCUGGAAUACAUAGCAACUAUGGAAUCGGCUUUUUGAACGUGUAAAAGGAUUCAUCUGGAACAGGAGUGGGCCAACUAUACUGUCAGACAGAACUCAGUGACUGUUUCAACAUGGAAAAUUCCAGUGGAGAACAGAUAAUACCCAUCCAUUGUGUGAUGUCUAUACAGCAUUCCCGCUUCAACAGCACAAUGGAGAAGUUUUAUCAGCAAGCACCUGGCCUUCGAGAUUCGAAGCAUUUACAGAAAAUAGUCUGACAACCCAGAAAAUUUUGAUCCAAGAAUGAAAUUUCCUCUCAAGACCACUGAACCUAGACCAUAGAGUUUAUUUCUAGUCAACAGCAACGAGUAAUACAAGAGGCCAUCUGGAGCAGGGCUGCCCUCUGAACAUCUUGCCUCUUGGAAAUAAGUCUGAUACUUGUUGAGCUCUGGCCUUGUUCAUGUUGAUAAAGGAAUACUUGGGCCCAAAAAGGUU